GAGGGGCGCCCGCUGCGGCCUCCAGCGGAAUGAAGCAGAGCGAGGGGCGCAGACACAGGGAGAGCGCCAUUGGGCCCCACACGCCCUUCUCACCCGCUCCCUGACCUCAAGGAAGAGCCGACCAGGCUAGGCCGGCCUCGGGCGCCUGAGGCUGUCCGGCUGGGCCCAACUCUGGAGGUGGCUCGGCCGGGGGAUUGGCCGGCUGGAGGCAAGGGGUGGACCUCAGGCUCCCCAGCCCCGGGGAGGCUCCCGCGCCACCCGCGCGCCUCGCGACGCGCCUCUUGCCGCUCUCAGGCUUAAGGAGAGCACAGCCGGGGCAGGGAUCCAUUCCUGACAGGGCGUCAAAUGCUGGGGUGGGGUGAGAGGGACAAAGUCCAAGGCCUUGGAAUCUGAGUGGAGCAGCACCGCACUGCCCGCGAACUCCCUGCGCUGGGGUCAGAACUAGCGUCUUUGCCCUACCCUGCGGAAGUCAGAACCGCCCUGAGCCGCGUCGUGAGUCGGAAAAUGCGUCUUAGAAAAACCCUCCAGGAGAGGAGCCGCUGGGGGACCACAGCGUGGGAUCUUCAUCCGGUCCUCCAGGGUAAUAAACUUUCGGCGGUUCGAGUUUGGGUAGCAACUGGUCGCGCGCCCUCGUCAGUGUGUUAGCCAUUUCCCUGGAAGCGUCCUUGGUGUCGAAAGCCCAGAGCCGCGAGGAAGCAGAUGACCGAGUCGGCGGAAAUGUCCGAGUGAACCAGCAGCGCAGCUCUCGGAUGGCGCACUGGGAGGGGGACAGCUGAGCACAGACUCAGUGCCCUGAGCGCAGCUGGGUCCUGUAGGCUCUGGGACUUCCCUCUCCUCACACCCAGACCCCGCAACUCGCCGUGGGCCCAGUGGCCUGUCUUCCAUGCCGGCCGUUGGCGCCCGGGGUGUCCGACCGACUGUGCUGCUCCUAGGUGGGCCCCCACAAUGCGUGCGCUCUAGACGCCAGCGUAGGCAAGGGAAGUUUCCUGGGCUGAGAGUGGAGAAACUCAACGGUCCCUCCCGGGCGGGCGCUGAGGCGCCGUGAGAGCACUGCAUGCAACGCCGCGCCGCGCUCAGCCUGGGUCUCCCUUUGGCCGUGGGGCACGCACCUGCCCUCUGCAGCAGCCAGGCUUGGACUCUGCCGAGGGGCUGCCCGGCCACGCGGCUUCCCCCAAAGCCUGGAGCUCGCCGACUCUUCCCUACCUUUCAAAGACCGCAGCGCUCGGGCCAGCGUGGCCCAGACUCCACUGUGGAACUUCGGAGGCUGGGGUGGGCGAAGUAAACACGUUUAUGGAAAAACCUGGGCUCAGGAGGUUUGCGGAAAGAGGGCUCAGCUCGUAGGUGGUUGGAAAUUCCGUCCACCCUGCGAGAAAAGCAGGCGGUUCCGCACACAACAUAUAUACACACGCGCACACACAGGGUGGGAAGGUGUGAAGCCCGCUGCUCGGGAGUUGCCCCCACUUUGAUGAAAAGGAAAUACGAAGCGUAGGAACAACUCUUCAGGUCACCACCCCGGGACUGUGUGUCCUGGAGGUCUGAAAGAAGAGAAAGUUCCCUCCAAAUCUUCCAAAUUGAGAAAAGCUGCGGAAGGAAUGAGGCGGUUAGAGAGAGGGGACCGCAAGCAUCCCCGUAGCUGGGGCUCAGGACUGAGCGCUAAAAUGAAACCACCCCUGUAGAUCCCACUAGGGAAAAUGUCUUUUUAAAACCCUUGAACUCUUAGGCAUUCUGCUACUUCCAUGCUUGUCAAAUCUACUUUGAAGCAGUUAAAUAAUGAAGGAUAUUAAACACUCUGGUCUCCGUUCCAAACUCACUCUUUAAUCUUUGCGAAUUUGAAAUUAGAAGGAAAGGAAAAGAAGAUCUGCUAUCCCUGAAUUAUGUUUUACCAAAGGAACGAAAAAUUCUAUACACUUCAGCAUAAAUAAAAUAGAAGGAAUUUUAUCUUAAUAAAAUAAUAUCUCGUAGCUUCCACCUGGCUCCCCAAUCACUGGUUAAUAACCUUUUGACAGUUUUUAGCCUUCUGCUUAUAUUUGUCCACUUAUAUUUGUUCACGAUGGAGAUUAUUUUAAUUGUCCUUCGGGGCGGCACAUCCAAAGCCACCUUUUGGCGGAAUACUUUUGAAUUAUACAGCCUCUUGGCUGCAAGAUCUGCGCCCCUCAAAGGGAGGACUUGCUGGGGGGGCGGAGGGCCAAGCCAAAUCCCCUCUGGCGUCUCGUCUGGGACGAAGGGCGUUUUGCUCAGGGUUGCUCACGAAUAUGUCUUCUAGGAAAAGGCUGUUUAAAAUGAGCGUGUGUUAUUCCUUUCUGUCACUCGGUCACCCUACUUCCAGAGUAGCU
rnacentral:lncRNA from 1 species